CAAUAGCGUAUAUUAAAGUUGUUGCAGUUAAAAAGCUCGUAGUUGGAUUUCUGGUCGGAAGCUCCUGUCCUCUGAUGAGCGUACAAGUGCGUCCUACCAUCCUUCUGUUAACCUUUAAGGCUUUCGCGGCUUUCUAGGGGCUCAGAUAUUUUACCUUGAGAAAAUUAGAGUGUUUCAGGCAGGCUAGCGCCGGAAUACAUUAGCAUGGAAUAAUGGAAUAGGACUUUUGCCUCUUCUGUUGGUCAUGAGGCUCGAGUAAUGAUUAAUAGGGAUAGUUGGGGGCAUUAGUACUUAACUGUCAGAGGUGAAAUUCUCGGAUUUGUUAAAGACUAACUUAUGCGAAAGCAUUCGCCAAGGAUGUUUUCAUUAA
rnacentral:rRNA from 1 species